rnacentral:lncRNA from 1 species
AUUGUAUUUCCCUUGACAGUGAUUGCUAGCACCUGGUGAUGAGCUUCUUUAAAAGCAACGGGUGUGUUCUAUAUACAGCAUGGUACACUGGAUGAAGGGAUGACUCAUAUCCCAGAUACUUCUGUCUUGAUUGCUGUUGCAUCACCCAACAAUUUGGAUUUUUAAAUGAUCAUCCCCCUCAGUCUUGUGUGAAAUGGCUUGAAGGAGUCAAGAGUGUGAACAAUCUGAAUGAUUAAUAUAUAAUUGAAAUAGUUCCUGUGGAGAAAUCAUGGUGACUUGUAUUGGUGUUGUUGUAAGGGGGAAAAGUGAACAGAUGUAUUUUGGAGAUAGGUCUUGGAGCAGGAUUGCAUGUUGGAAGUGAGAAGUGGAGAGAUAACAGAAAUCACUCCUAGAAGUCUUGCUUAAUCAAUUAAGUGCAUGGUAGAACCAUUUACUGAGGUAGGGAAGAUCAGGAAAGAUAUACAUUUCUAGGGGGUGAUCUGGAACUGGUUUUAAGAUUAGACUCACAAAAUGUCUUUUAGGUAGCCAAUUAGGUAUGCCGGUUAUAGCCUUGUUUAUAAAAUUAUUUAUGUUUCUCAAAGUAGCCAAGCUCAGGGUUGGUUCUCCCUAGAAAACUGUUGCCCUAAAUUUUAGCUUGUUCCUUCUCAUUAUUCAGAUCCAGGACUUAAAUGUUCACAUUCCUACAAAGACUAGCCCUAUUUCUCAUGCCCUUUAAACUCCUGAUCCCAUUCUAGUUUUACUGUCACACUACCCUGUUUCUUUUCCUCAGCGCAUUUAUCACUAUCUGAAAUUAUCUUAUUUAUUUUACUUUUUAACCUUUAUAUUUUACUGAUACAUAAUAAUUGAAAUCAUUUAUUUUUGUUUACUGGGUUACUGUUUGCUUUCCUUAACUAGAAUGUAGUUCUGUAAGAAAGGAUCCUGUAUCAGUUUUGUUCAGUCUGUAUCCAUGGAGAGAUUACCUGGUGCUAUGGGCUAAAUUGUAUCGCCUCACCACUCACAUGGUGAAACCCUAACUCCCACCAUGACAGCGUUUGAAGACCGAGUCUUUGGGAGGUAAUUAAGUUUAAACGAGAUCUGAGGGUAGGGUGCUCAUGAUGUGCUUCUUGCUGUGUCUUCAUAUGGUGGAGAGAGAUGGAGGAAGCAAGCUUUCUGGUUUCUCUUCCUAUAAGGGUACUAAUUCAUCAAGAAGGGCAUCUGCCAUCUGUAAGCCUGGAAGAGAGCCCUCACUAAGGAACUAAAUCAGCUGGUAUCUUGAUCUGGGACUUCCCAAACUCCAGACUGUGAAAAAUAAAUUCCUAUUGUUUAAGCUAUCCAGUCUGUGGUAUUUUGUUAUGACACCUGGAAUGGAGAAGAUGCACCAUAUAUAUAAAUACACAUAUAUGUGAA